ACCAAGUUCGCGUGAGGGAUAGAGGCGGUAUCCUUUUAUACAGCGGAGCGAAAUAAAAGAUAUAGCCGAAAGCCCGACCCGGA
rnacentral:sRNA from 1 species